rnacentral:lncRNA from 1 species
AAAAAAAAUUAUUACAGUUUAUCUUAAAAAAGUUCAUGUAAAGCUUCAGAGUGAGUCAAGAAUUGACCAGCAAUACGUGGUGGUCAACUGGUUUGGGUCGUCGGCGUCACUAUUAUUCAAUUUCUGCUUUCAUACAGCAGUCGCAAUCAAAUUUUCUGCUAUUAAGCAGUAGCGAUUUCAUAAAAUCUGCUAAAAUUAGCAGUCGUUUUGAAAGUUUCACUUUUAGCCAGCAAUUGAGCGCUUAUUUUCUGCUUUUGAAUAGCAGUUAUUUGAUAAGUUCUGCUACUAAUCAGCAGUCAAAUAUUAAUAUUUCUGCUCUCAGUUAGCAGUCGUUGUAAAAGUUUCACUUUUAGCCAACAAUUGAGCGCUAAUUUUCUGCUAUCGAAAAGCAGUCAAUUAAUAAGUUUUGCUACUAAUCAACAGUCAAUUUUAAUAUUCAAUCAACCAUACUGUUUCUUAUUAAUUAUAGUUUAUUAAAGUGUAGUAUUUGUUUUGA